UACAGAGGGUGCGAGCGUUAAUCGGAAUUACUGGGCGUAAAGCGUGCGCAGGCGGUUGGUUAAGUCUGAUGUGAAAGCCCCGGGCUCAACCUGGGAAUGGCAUUGGAAACUGUCCAGCUGGAGUGUGGCAGAGGGGGGUGGAAUUCCGCGUGUAGCAGUGAAAUGCGUAGAGAUGCGGAGGAACACCGAUGGCGAAGGCAGCCCCCUGGGCCAACACUGACGCUCAGGCACGAAAGCGUGGGGAGCAAACAGG
rnacentral:rRNA from 1 species